AUAGGCAAUUUUUUCCUGUAAUGGUUUUUUGUUUAAUGUUUUUUUUCGCCUAAGGAUGGGUCUGCGGCCGAUUAGGUAGUUGGUUAGGUAAUGGCUUACCAAGCCUUUGAUCGGUACGGGUUGUGAGAGCAAGAGCCCGGAGAUGGAACCUGAGACAAGGUUCCAGGCCCUACGGGGUGCAGCAGGCGCGAAACCUCCGCAAUGUGAGAAAUCGCGACGGGGGGAUCCCAAGUGCCAUUCUUAACGGGAUGGCUUUUCUUUAGUGUAAAGAGCUUUUGGAAUAAGAGCUGGGCAAGACCGGUGCCAGCCGCCGCGGUAACACCGGCAGCUCUAGUGGUAGCAAUUUUUAUUGGGCCUAAAGCGUCCGUAGCCGGUUUAAUAAGUCUCUGGUGAAAUCCUGUAGCUUAACUAUGGGAAUUGCUGGAGAUACUAUUAGACUUGAGACCGGGAGAGGUUAGAGGUACUCCCAGGGUAGAGGUGAAAUUCUGUAAUCCUGGGAGGACCGCCUGUUGCGAAGGCGUCUAACUGGAACGGUUCUGACGGUGAGGGACGAAAGUUAGGGGCGCGAACCGGAUUAGAUACCCGGGUAGUCCUAACUGUAAACGAUGCGGACUUGGUGUUGGGGUGGCUUUGAGCUGCUUCAGUGCCGAAGGGAAGCUGUUAAGUCCGCCGCCUGGGAAGUACGGUCGCAAGACUGAAACUUAAAAGGAAUUGGCGGGGGAGCACCACCAACACGUGGAGCCUGCGGNUUUAAUUGGAUUUCAACGCCGGACAUCUCACCCAGAGGCGACAGCUGU
rnacentral:rRNA from 1 species